AUGUUUCUACUUCUAUCUGCCCCACUUGCUCGGAUUGCUUCGAGCAUCGACAGGCACAGAUGGUUGGGGCCUGAAAAUGGCACACUAGAUUGAGUAUCUUGCAAUGCAAGCAAAGCACUGGGGUAUAAGUAAAGAAAUGGCGAGCACCUUUUUGCAUCGGAGGUCUGUCAGGCAAUGGUAAGUUAUCUUUCUCCAUGGAACUGCCAAGUUGUGGUGAAUUGUCCUUUUCAGCAACAGACUCAUUAACUGAUCCUACUGUUUCAAUGGCCUGUGAGAAGAAACACACAUAAAUAAGCAUAGAAGGAAGGAGAAGUUUGAAAAUACAGAUGAUCUGGAAGUUACCAAGCUCUCUUUGUCUGUGUCAACAAACUGCUUUGUCUUUAAAAAGAAUGCACUGAGAUUUUGCACUAACAUACUUGAACAGCUUCAGAGAUUCCAGUAAUCACUCUAAUGACAUCUACGCAAGCAAAGAAGAGUUAUUAUAAAAUCACCACCAAACAAACGAGAGAAAAGAUGAUUAGUCACAAAAUCACUUGUAAAGCGUUCAGGCAUAUCUGUAGGCCUAGGGAGCUGAGCUAUUGGAGUCAAUGCAUACGUACAGAAGGGGAACUCUGCUUCCAUUCCAGUUCUCUCCACAAGUUCAGUGCGCUUUAUAAACUUAAUCAUUAAAUGACCUUCCACUGGUCUAAAAACAUACUUCCACGGGAAUACCAGGAACUUCUGAAACUCGACGGUGUACAAAACUGCAAAGCAAAGCAAAACAACAGAAAAUGAGAUAGAAAAACAAGAAGCCUUAAACAUCAGUCAGAAAUUUCAAGCUGUAGUUGCAUGGAAAUGGUAAAUAAAAUGGUACCGGCGUUUAUAGGACCAUAGGCAUGGCCUGACUGGAUUUCAUCUAGAUAUUCGUUAAGCUUCAUCUUAGUAAUCUCAAGCCACAUUGGACUACAUGUAAAAAUAGUAAAAGUAUCAGGGGCCUCAUCCACUCAACAAAUUGUAAGACCAUCCUGAAAGUUCUCCUGGUAGUAACGCCGACCAGUGGUAUGGCUGGACGGCACAAUCGUUUUCAUCGGCAAAAGAGAACCAAUAAGAUGAUGGACCUGACCACAAAUUUUGAAGAUAUUAACCCCCGCGUGCCUUCCAGCGAACGAAUGACGUCGCCACAAUAGACGUAAAUGCCGUCCAACUGUGAUGCGGUAUCUUUGUCAGGAAUUGCUUGGAAACACGAUCACCAUGACAUGAUAAUAAAUGACUCAAUAAAGCAGGAGGAUUUCUGAAAGGUUUAACAACGACUUUUCCACCUUUGCAACAAAGGUUAUAAACAAUUUUACGUAACACACAUGAAGAAUAUGGAUUGGCCCUCUCCUCAAACCAAAAAGAAGCCUUGCAGAGAGGGCACUGGUACUCAGGAGGACCAUAGUAAGAUCUGUCCUUAUAGGAAACUACAGAAAACACAAUACUCAAGGAGGCCGUCAUGACAGGAAAAGGAAAAAACAAAACUAACAUCAACCUAAUAGUUAGUACCUUUGCGAUUGUCAACUACCUCGACAGGAAAACCAGUCCAAUCAGUUGGCAAGUCCCCUUCAAACCAAAGAUCUACAUGCAUGUUGUUAUGAGAAACAACAGCCAAAACAAAGAUACUAAGGACGGAAAGACAGGAACCCCGACCAAGAAAACCAGUACAUGUAACACCAUGGCAACGAAGGCCCCUAAGUAAUUUAUGCCUCUUCCGAUUUCUAGCCAACAUGGCAGGAGUGAGCACUGGGAACCAGGCAUCCCCUAGAAAACGACAGAACCGACACAAAUGAACAGAUGCAAGCCAAACAAAACCUAAGGAAAUGACCAUAUAGACAACAUACCAUUUCUCUUACGAAUACCACAAACACCAACAACAGGAGCAUGCAAAACACGCCGACGGCGAGCCAUCAUCAGCAAUGAGCACACAUAUAUGCAAAUACUGCAUAUUAAGACGAAAGCGAAGUAAAGACAGCACAGGUAAAUGCAAAAAAGUAUCAAACAGGAGCACAAGAGACAGUAGAGCCAAUUAAAUGAAAUAAUAAUGAUUCAUGCAUACAAAGAGAUGUUUAUUACAAGCAUACCCAAGGGAACAAUAUAAUGACCCAGACAUAAUCUAUCUAAGACACUCCUAGAUGGGCCUUAGAACCCAGACACCGAAUUGACCAGCUAUGAAUACAAUAAUUGUAAUUGAACACUUGUAUUUAUACCAGCGACAUCAACCUGCCCGCCUGCAUGUACCAGAGGCCAGGCAGGCUGGGCAAGCGCACCUGCAAGCACCAGAACCGACUGCGCAACACCUUUUAUAUGCUAACAUGCUAUCGUAAUUGUAAUCUGCAACAACAAACCCAUAUAUCCCUUGUAAAAAUUGGUUUGACACGGCACCACGUCAUCCCUAGUAAGAACAUCAAUCUCCACCCCUCCAAGCAGAAAACCAUCAGAUGCCACCACUCAAACAUAAGAAUGAAAUGGCAAUCGACAAUAGGUCGCAACAGCCUCAAGCAGAGGCACACAGGAAGAACUGAUAAUAAAAAUGCUUAUAAUAAUUAAUUAUUAAGGAGCAACCGGAAAAAUACCAACGCAGACCAUACAAAGGGAAGAACACAGAAGCCUAUGAAAUAAAUAGUAAUAAACACAACUAAAUAGCAAGCAAUAGGAAACAUAGCAAGGCACGACUUACCCUAUGAACCGAGCAGCAGCUCCACCAGUAAGUAGUUUCCAACAACAAAGUGCAACCCAAGAACUCAGUUGUAACUGAAACAAGCUGCCAAACAGAAAGUAAGGACCAUGAAAGAAAGCAAGGCAAAUUAAUAAACAGAGAAAUCAUAUGUAGAAGCAAUGAAGUCUGUAAUUGAGAAGCGCAGAUAAUCACUAAAGCAGAGAACUAACAUAACAUAAUAGCUGAAGGUGGCAAGCAAAAACAAGCAGACCCGAUGAGCAUAGCAAGCGUGAAACGCAUUCAGGAGCAGUUGGUCAACAUGCAAAGACACAGAAUGAAAGCCUAAAGCAUGGGCACCAGAUAACUGAAUCUCGCAGCAAGAAGCUAACAGCAGACACCCCCUAUUAGAAGGCACCCUCAUUAGCAGAACUGUAAACACAUCAAGCACACAAUCUCAAAUUCUCUUUGUAACCAACCAUGCCAAGUUGCCAACCAUCAUGGACAACAUCUUAACAGCCCGGCGGAGCUCAAAUCCAACACUCUCUUCCUAAUCAAACAUCCACCAUUAAGACAAGGCAAACAUCCAGCACUGAGACCAUUAUAACAAGAAGAGGGAUACCCAACCAUAAUAACUUAGGCAGACCAAAUCAAUUGACAGAGGCCAAUUAACAGACCAAACCCUUUAUUUUUUUCACACGUCACCUGACAAAGAAUAAUGUCACCAAACCAGUCCAAAAGGCGCAUACCCUGGUACAUCGACCUCUUCUGAAAAUCUCACUACAAUCGUAGAGAGAGAAUGCCGGCCCUAGCAAGAUCUAGACAACUAAGAAAAAAACACCUGUCACGCACAAGCAAACAAAGGAG
rnacentral:lncRNA from 1 species